UACGAAGGGGGCUAGCGUUGUUCGGAUUUACUGGGCGUAAAGCGCACGUAGGCGGUUUGUUAAGUGAGAGGUGAAAUCCCAGAGCUCAACUCUGGAACUGCCUUUCAUACUGGCAAGCUAGAGUCCGGAAGAGGUGAGUGGAACUCCUAGUGUAGAGGUGGAAUUCGUAGAUAUUAGGAAGAACACCAGUGGCGAAGGCGGCUCACUGGUCCGGUACUGACGCUGAGGUGCGAAAGCGUGGGGAGCAAAC
rnacentral:rRNA from 1 species